AUUCCAUGAGAUUUGUUAAUUUUAUUACAUGGGCUAAAUAAAAACUUGUUUUAAAAAAUAAGAGUUAUUUGCUACACUUACCAAAGCGCCAUAUUGGAUUUUGACUUUCUUAUUGGAGAUAGUUUAAGUAUUACAAAAGCCGGCUUAGGAGGUGUUUAUUUUUCUUUCCUUUCUUUU